CGGGAAUUUUGCGCAAUGGACGAAAGUCUGACGCAGCAACGCCGCGUGAGGGAUGACGGCCUUCGGGUUGUAAACCUCUUUUGUCAGGGACGAUGAUGACGGUACCUGACGAAUAAGCCACGGCUAACUACGUGCCAGCAGCCGCGGUAAUACGUAGGUGGCAAGCGUUGUCCGGAUUUACUGGGCGUAAAGAGCGCGCAGGCGGUCGUUCAAGUCGCGUGUGAAAGCCCCCGGCUCAACUGGGGAGGGUCACGCGAUACUGAUCGACUCGAAGGCAGGAGAGGGUAGUGGAAUUCCCGGUGUAGUGGUGAAAUGCGUAGAUAUCGGGAGGAACACCAGUGGCGAAGGCGACUACCUGGCCUGUUUCUUGACGCUGAGGCGCGAAAGCUAGGGGAGCAAACGGGAUUAGAUACCCCGGUAGUCCUAGCCGUAAACGAUGGGUACUAGGUGUAGAGGGUAUCGACCCCCUCUGUGCCGCAAGCAAACGCAAUAAGUACCCCGCCUGGGGAGUACGGCCGCAAGGUUG
rnacentral:rRNA from 1 species